AUUAAAACAUCGAAUCGCCUAGGGAGAUUGUUGUUAUUUAACCCAAAUGACUAUUCCGGUAUACCCUUUAUUUUGUGAUCCGAUGUUAGAGCAAAAGCCCAAGAACACAACACGUAAAUUUUCGAAGCUGGUUGGCUUGGCAUCAAUUUCUCGGCAGGAGGCAGGGGAGCGUUGAAGUUGCCACAACAUCUUCAGCUAAGAAUUUGGUAUGCAGCUUGAAGCCGGAGUCGCUGCCGAAGCUGUAGAUGCAGCUUUAACUGAAUAUGAGAAUCGGGCUGGGCAUGCCAACGUCCUCGCCUCGCAGAGGAUUCCUCAGGCGCAACUAUGAAAUUGGCAGUUUGCAUUCUGCUUUCGUGUGUGCGCUGGUGCUCGGGUUUGUGGCCAAGGAUUCCUGCCAAUGUCGGUGGACGGUGUAUCUGUGAUUGGUAUGCGGCUAUAUAUUGUUGUUGCUCUUCUGGCCUGGACUUGGUAUGUUUCCGAGACCCAAUCCCUCAUCCAGAGUACAUAUAUUUAGCAAACUUUAAGUAUAUUAUUUAGUCGAAAAAUCAAUCAAAAAGUAUUUAAAC
ensembl:ncRNA lncRNA:CR43717 long non-coding RNA:CR43717